AGAGCGGCCGGCCUUUUGGCUAUGAUCACGUGUAGUAAUUAUCCGUUCUUAUCAGCGUGAUAACCGAUAUGUCUCCAACUGGAGACUUGCUUGUCACAUCUAUUUUUGCUGAGGAAGUGUCUUCAUGCGCUCGUUCAGAAGCCUUCACAUGUUGCGCUGGCAUAGCACCAAGCCAGUGGCAACCCCAAAACC
rnacentral:snRNA from 1 species